rnacentral:rRNA from 1 species
GAUGAACGCUAGCGGCAGGCCUAACACAUGCAAGUCGAGGGGCAGCACAGAAACAGCAAUGUUUUGGUGGCGACCGGCGGACGGGUGCGUAGCGCGUAUGCAACCUACCUUUAACAGGGGGAUAACGGAGAGAAAUUUCCACUAAUACCCCAUAACAUCGAUCAAGGCAUCUUGACUGGUUGAAAACUCCGGUGGUUAAAGAUGGGCAUGCGUUGUAUUAGGUAGUUGGUGAGGUAAUGGCUCACCGAGCCUACGAUACAUAGGGGACUGAGAGGUUAGCCCCCCACACUGGAACUAAGACACGGACCAGACUCCUACGGGAGGCAGCAGUGAGGAAUAUUGGUCAAUGGGGGCAACCCUGAACCAGCCAUGCCGCGUGCAGGAAGACGGCUCUAUGAGUUGUAAACUGCUUUUAAACAGGGAUAAAGCACAGUAUGUAUACUGUGUUGAAGGUACUGUAAGAAUAAGGAUCGGCUAACUCCGUGCCAGCCGCCGCAGUAA